UGAGCAAUCUGCCCUUCUCAUCGGAAUAAGCGUUGGAAACGACGUCUAAUGCCGAAUACGACCUCCUUUCGCAUGAUCGGAGGUGGAAAGCUCCGGCGGAGAAGGAUGAGCUCGCGGCCUAUCAGCUAGUUGGUGUGGUAAUGGCCCACCAAGGCGACGACGGGUAGCCGGCCUGAGAGGGUGACCGGCCACACUGGGACUGAGACACGGCCCAGACUCCGUACGGGAGCAG
rnacentral:rRNA from 1 species